CACUCUACUGCCCAAAUCUGCCGACUCCACCUCCUUUCAUCUUUCUUUUUUGGUGGGUACGGGUUCUCGGCGACUGGUAGAUGCUUGCUGCGACGGUGGUCACGAUUUUAAUGCUCCAAGUAUUACAAAACCGAGGCAUUAGAGGCCAAGCAAUCUUGAGUCCCUCGUCUCUCCCUCCCAUCCUCUGCAUCUCUCAGUCUCCGUCUCUUCCUCCCUCUCAGGUCGUAGACAACCCCUCAACCACUGAGUUGGCGAAUUCCUCCUUCACCACUUCUUCAUCUACUGCGUCUAUGUUAGGUUAAGGUAUGACAACUAGUUUCUCUGUUUUUUUUUAAUUUUUUUUUUUUGCGUUGUGAGUUUUGUAACAU